AAACUAGGACAUACGGAUUAACAACAACGGAAUUUUGAAUUAUCACGAAAUAUAAUAAUUCAUCUGUUUGAAUAAUGACCGAAAUAUUGGAUAUUGUGUGUGAAAGAGAAGAAAAGAAUUAUAUGGAUGCCGAUGGUUGGAUAAAUGAAGAAAGAAAAAAAAGAAAUAAAGACAACAAAUUAAGUCGGCCUAGUUAUGAUUGCUGUGUUGGUUUAUACAUAAAAUCCCUGUGGCACCACCUCCAUCUAGAUGCCUGAGGAGGAUAGACAAAGUAUGCGUAUGUCGAUAAUUUGUAAACUUUUUAAAAUAUGACCAGAGAGUAGUGUCGGUGAUUUUCUACGAGAAUAAUCAACACAAUUAUUGAAAUGAUAAUAGUGACGGUGACUAAUUUAUUUACAACACAUACCAUCGGUGGAAAUCCAUAUAAGCUGCUCCUAGGAGUUAGUGAUGAUAAUUUUUGCUUUUAUCUUUUAUAAUAUCAUUCUGUUCUGCCAUUGAUAAUCCCGUUAAAAAGGAAAACUUUUGACUCACAGGAAGAGCAGACUCCGACAAAUCUAUAUUUGAAUUUGACAGUGAAAAAAAGUGCUUUUGGGGGAUUUUAUUUUGUGUGUGUGUGCAUGCACCAGGUUUGUAAUCUAUUUUGGUCAACAAGUCUUCGUAGAUCCAAAAAGUAUAUGUAAAUUUAAAGUGAAAGUGCUUGUUUUAGUGAGUCUAACAAGGUAAAUUUAUUCCACUAGUCUGCAUCAGCGAAAACGAAAAAUACGUUAAUGUGAUCUCUCUGGUGGAUUCACCAAAUUCUUGUCUUGUAUAAAAACUAAAAUUUUCCUGUUUGUUGGUUGUCCAACCAAUGCUAUAUUUAACACAGCGAUUUAUAAACCUUUUAAAAUUCUUGGUGAGUCCACCAAUUUGGAACUUUAGUUUCAUUUCACAUUUUCCACAAUUUUAUAUUGGUGGAUCCACCAAGUAUUGAAAUAAUGACAGCAUUUUUCAUUUUGGACAAGUUCUUAAAAUUUGUUCAGUGUAGUAGUUAUUGAUAUAUUAGAAAAUUUAACCUCUUUGACUAUUGGUGGAACCACCAAACAUUGUUUGCAGAAUUGUUGAUAUUUAGGCAUUCGAAAGGGUUUUAUUUUUGUCAUCUGUUCUAUUAUUGCUUUGUUUGUGGGUUCACCAAUUUUUUGAAUGAAAUACAAAACUGUAUACAGACAAUUUCAUACUUGAUUGUUGGUGGAACCACCAUGAUCCUCUAUGCAUGAAAUAUUUUAUGCUGUUCAAAAUAAUAGACUCGCGCAUAUCUUAUUAUUGGUGGACCCACCAAGUUUAUUCGUAAGUGAGAUAUUUGAUGAAUAAAAUUGGUGGAACCACCAGGGUCCUCUUUGAGUGAGAUAUUUUAUGCUGUUCAAAAUAAUAGAAUCGCCAAUAUAUUAUUCUUGGUAGACCCACCAAGUUUAUUCGUAAGUGAAAUAAUCGAUGAAUGAAAUUGGUGGAAUCACCAAUAUUUUGACUGUAAUUGUGAAAUUUGAAGGUUUAAAGAUACUGUAAAAUGUGCUUUUGUGUAAAAAAGAUGGUGGGUUCAACAAUUUAUGUUGUAUUCAACGACCAAAAUGAAUAAAAAUCAUGUUCAUUUCUGUU
rnacentral:sRNA from 1 species